GUCGGGAUAGCUCAGCAGGUAGAGCAGAGGACUGAAAAUCCUCGUGUCACCAGUUCGAAUCUGGUUCCUGGCA
rnacentral:tRNA from 1 species